UUUAAUUCUUGUUUUUGGCUCUAAUUUUUGGCUCUAAAAGACAUUAAAGAUUACAAUCAAACUAUCAACUAGUUAACCACAAUUUAAUUACGAUGUUAUGGUUUCUUCUGUUUGUCUUUAUCAAAAUGUUGUGGCCAAUCCAAUAAAAAACAAUGAUCUCGGCGCUUACUUGCAACCAACAUCGCUAUCAUCAACAUCAUGAUUGAUUCAAUUGAUCACCAAAUGGUAACUGCUCAACUUAAGGUUAUUUAUAACAAUUUGGUGAACCAUAAAUGCACAAAACUACAAAAACAUUUGAAAUGGAUGGUAAAAAAAACUGGCAAAUUCAAAAGAUCAACUUUAUUCAACCCGUUAUAAAUUAUCAACAGAAGACAAUUUAGGUUAUACAACAAGAUUUAAGGAAAUUGUAAAGUUUGGACGAGAGAAACGAUUCAAGUUGGUAAUGAAAAGUUCAAGUUUAUCUGGUUCAAUGGAAGAUGAAAUUUCAUUUCAUUUAUGAUGGUUUCUUUUGAUUUUUGCUGCUUCUAUUUUCAUGCCAAUAUCUCAUGAAACAUUUGAAUUUUACAAUUUAACCAAUUGUACAAUCAAUCAGAAUUGCAAGUGAUCAGAUGUUGAAUGAAACUCAAACAGAAGCUAAACUUCAUCAUGAUUUGCGUGAAAUGCAUCAAGUUUGGAUUCUUUAUCAUUUGGAAUAUCUUUUUUUGAUCAUUUUGCCUGUUAUUUGAAUCUUCAACCCAUUGGAUUGAUUUGAUCAGAUAAAAGGCUUUCCCCUGAUUAUUUGGUCUAUUGACGGAAAACAGCAAGUUGAGAGAUUCACAGAUCUGUAACCAACGGUUAAAGUUUUCAUGGUGAUGAUGAAAGUGAACAUGAUACAGAUGGUUCAAGAUGAACGGUUUUUCAAAUCUUUUCAGCUUAACUAAAAGAUAAAUCAUUUAUCUUUACCUUGAUAGUUUCAUUUCACAGUUUCUCUUGCAUUCACUUUUUUCAUCCUAACCAUAAUCAUCUUCAUUUUUUCUCUCUUUCUCUCAUCUUCUUCCGCUUUGUGUAAUGUUGAUGGUAAAAAGAAGCAAAACAAACGAUAUUUACAGGGUUACAGGGUUGAGAAAGGAAAUGGAAACAUGGAAACUUUAAAAAGAUUUGCUGAUUUCGUUGCCUUACAAGACAAGUAAAAUUUCAAUAUUUGUUUCAAUUAUCCGCAGUCUAUCGAUGAAGGACGAUCCAGGAGGAAAUUUCAAUGUUCAUUAUGAAUUGAUCGACGAACAAUUUAGAAAUAUUUUGUGCUCAAGUGAAUGGCAUUUUCCGACGAAUCUCUCUUUUCUAGAAAACAGAUUGAGUUACAACUUUUUUUCUUUCUCUUCAUCUUUCCACGUCCAAUGCUUUCAAUAAUUUAUGGAUUUCUUUAAAGAUUUCCAUAGACAGUUGAUUGUCUUAAAGACUGAAUGCAAUUGAUUAUGAUAUAUAACUUUCUAAUAAGAUUUUGUCGUAUUCAGUAUGAGACAUUGAGUUUGUGGAUUAAGAUUAGCAAGAUGCUUGUAAGGAACAGGUUUUUAUGCAUGUUUACCUUUAGUUUUUGAUGUUAAUUAUGAAAAUGACUUGAAAAAUAGUUGGAUCAACAUGUAUUCUCGAGAUACUUCAAAAAAAUGAUUCUUCUCAUUUCCACAUGAAAAAAGGUCUAAUAAGAUACUUUACCAAAAUUCCGUCGGUAUUGGCCAAUCAUCGCCACAGGGAGGAAAAGUUAGUUCAUGGUCACCAUAGGUAGUUGUAUUCAUGAAGGUGUCCUUUCCUACUGAGCCACUCAAGAUCUAUUUCAUUAUAAAGAGACAUUUCAAUCGAAAAUGAGAAAAAAGAUCAUCGAUAUUCCAGAAACUUGAAGCUUCUUGAAUCUGAGAUUUAUAAACUUUAAAAGGCAAAUAUUUAUACAAAAUAACCAGACUUAAAUCUCACACAAUAUUUCAAUAAAAGAGGAAAAGAGCGAAUUUUUCAAGUUACUUUCUAAUGGCAAGAAUUUUAAAGGAAAACAUAUUUAACUGUUAAACAUGAACAUUAGGCUUAAGAUCAAGAUUGAAAUCUCAAAGAUCUAAUCUCAUCAUGAAGUCAACAUGCUAACCCUGAAAAUCUCACCAUUGACCUUUUAGUUUCAAAGGAUUGAAUCCGAUAAGACUGACUAAAGAACGAUAAUAAUCAGUAAAAUUGGGCUUAUCCAAGAUAAUCAGAAAUACAAUCUGAAGUAAAGUUUCGUUUAGCUUUGGACAAUUAGGAACAAAAAUGAAUAGUUAAAGAUAGUAAUUGACCAAUCAAACCUAAUUACUGAAUGUAUUUCAUUACAAAGUAUGGAACUGUAUAAAUUGACUCUUCAUUCAUCAACAAGUCUCAUAUCAUUUACCAACUUUAAUUAUACUCUUAUCGUGUAACAUAACACAACUGUCCUUUAAAGUAUCUCAGUAAUCAAUAGUGUUUCUGUGUUGCCACUGACCAUUAAGGUACUGACUAUCGAUAUUAAUGUUGAUAAUACUUUGAAUAUUAGUUUACUGUUUAUUUGAUGCUCUUUUGGUUGACUUUAGCUUUACAUUCAUCUGAAAAUGAAACUUGCUUUGGUUGCUCGGAACUCAUUUGAAACAGCUAAUUGUAAUCAACGUGAGUUUUAACUGGCAAAGUAAACAUUUCAAUUUUACUCAUUGUUUAAUCAACAUUUUAACCAUUAAAUUUCCGUUC